UUGUGUAAACAGAACCAAGGAAACAAAAAAUCCUUUUUCUUUUCAUGAAAAAAUGAUCAUAGGUUAGAAUGAGCGGUUUGAAUACAUAGAGGGCGGAUCUUGAUUUAUUGUUGAUAUUCGUGGGGUUUUGAGGUAUGGGUUUUGAGAACAUCAAGACUGGAUCUUCUAUUCUUAAACCAAACGCAUCAUGAGAUUGGCGGAUGUUUAGAAACCGUGUACGAUGUUUAGCAGAUCAGAUGAAGCGAGAUCGGUGCAUACAGUGAACCGAUCGGCCAUAGAUUCCGGUAAAGUGAUCGGAAAUGAAUCCGAGUUUGAAAUUAUACGAAGCGAAUGAGCACAGAUCGAUACUAAAGCUUCCGGUGUUAGAUCUUGAACGGAGGAAACUUCCGGCGGGAUCGGAACUCCGGCUUUUGAAAGUGAGUUUAAUAAUAUCUCGUGUGAUUCUUCCAUUGAUCUCUCACCACGAUUACUCACACUCACACUCAUGGAGUCAUCUUGUUUCCAUCAUCACUCGAGAUGUUACCGCGAUAGAUUUAUCGGAUACGACGUCGUUUGCGGAUAAUGGUAGUUGGUCAGAAUGUGGCACCAAGGUUGUGUUACAACAACAAAUUCUCAAGUCUUUCUGAAUAUAA
rnacentral:lncRNA from 1 species